CUCCGGUUUCGGCGAGGCCAUUGCGCGCCGUUUUAUCCGUGAAGGCCACCAGGUGAUCGCCGCCGGGCGCCGCCUUGAGCGUCUCGAAGAGCUGCAGG
rnacentral:tRNA from 1 species